rnacentral:rRNA from 1 species
AACGAACGCUGGCGGCAUGCCUAACACAUGCAAGUCGAACGAGACCUUCGGGUCUAGUGGCGCACGGGUGCGUAACGCGUGGGAACCUGCCCUUAGGUUCGGAAUAACUCCCCGAAAGGGGUGCUAAUACCGGAUAAUGUCUUCGGACCAAAGAUUUAUCGCCUUUGGAUGGGCCCGCGUUGGAUUAGCUAGUUGGUAGGGUAAAAGCCUACCAAGGCGACGAUCCAUAGCUGGUCUGAGAGGCUGAUCAGCCACACUGGGACUGAGACACGGCCCAGACUCCUACGGGAGGCAGCAGUGGGGAAUAUUGCACCAUGGGCGAAAGCCUGAUCCAGCACUGCCGCGUGAGUGAUGAAGGCCUUAGGGUUGUAAAGCUCUUUUACCCGGGAUGAUAAUGACAGUACCGGGAGAAUAAGCUCCGGCUAACUCCGUG